GUGUUGCAUGGCUGUCGUCAGCUCGUGUCGUGAGAUGUUGGGUUAAGUCCCGCAACGAGCGCAACCCUCAUUCUUAUUUGCCAGCGGGUAAUGCCAGGAACUAUAAGAAAACUGCCAGUGAUAAGCUGGAGGAAGGUGGGGACGACGUCAAGUCAUCAUGGCCCUUACGGGUUGGGCUACACGCGUGCUACAAUGGUGUUUACAGAGGGAAGCAAGACGGCGACGUGGAGCAAAUCCCUAAAAGACAUCUCAGUUCGGAUUGUUCUCUGCAACUCGAGAGCAUGAAGUUGGAAUCGCUAGUAAUCGCGGAUCAGCAUGCCGCGGUGAAUACGUUCUCGGGCCUUGUACACACUGCCCGUCACGCCAUGGGAGUUGGUUUUACCUGAAGGUGGUGAGCUAACGCAAGAGGCAGCCAACCACGGUAAAAUUAGCGACUGGGGUGAAGUCGUAACAAGGUAGCCGUAGGGGAACCUGCGGCUGGAUUACCUCCUUAA
rnacentral:rRNA from 1 species